rnacentral:rRNA from 1 species
AAACCAUUUUUCCCCCUUAGUAUGGGCGACAGAAAAGGGCAUGAGGCGCAAUAGAAACAGUACCGCAAGGGAAAGCUGAAAGAGAAAUGAAACAACCCAGCAAAGCCUAAUAAAGCAGAGAUUACAUCUCGUACCUUUUGCAUCAUGAUUUAGCCAGUAAUAUUUAAGCAAAGAGCACUUUAGUUUAAAACCCCGAAACUAGAUGAGCUACUCCGAGACAGCCUAUAAAUAGGGCAAAUCCGUCUCUGUGGCAAAAGAGUGGAAAGAGCUCCGAGUAGAGGUGACAGACCUACCGAAUCUAGUUAUAGCUGGUUGCCUGAGAACUGGAUAGAAGUUCAGCCUCACGGCUUCUCCCCUCACAACCACUACAUUUUAAGACAACCAAAGAAACCCUGAGAGUUAAUCAAAAGAGGUACAGCUCCUUUGAUAAAAGACACAACUUUCCCAGGAGGGUAAAGAUCAUAUUUUACUAAGGCCAAAUGUCCUGGUGGGCCUAAAAGCAGCCACCCAUGUAGAAAGCGUUAAAGCUCAAACAUAACCGCCUUCCCCUAUUAUACUGAUAAUUCUAUCUUAACCCCCUAACCCGUAUCAGGCCGUCCCCUGCGAGCAGGGGAGCGACAAUGCUAAAAUGAGUAAUAAGAGAGCCAGACUCUCUCCCCGCACACGUGUACCUCGGAACGGACUCACCACCGAAUCUUAACGGCCCCAAACAAAGAGGGUAAUGAGCAACAAAAGAGACAACUAGAAAAACACUCAACCUCGAACCGUUAGCCCCACACUGGUGUGCUCCAUGGGAAAGACUAAAAGAAAAAGAAGGAACUCGGCAAACACAUUUUGAGCCUCGCCUGUUUACCAAAAACAUCGCCUCUUGCAAAAUUAAUGAAUAAGAGGUCCCGCCUGCCCUGUGAUAUAUUUAUUUAACGGCCGCGGUAUUUUGACCGUGCGAAGGUAGCGCAAUCACUUGUCCUUUAAAUGGGGACCUGUAUGAAUGGCAUAACGAGGGCUCUACUGUCUCCUUUUUCCAGUCAAUGAAAUUGAUCUCCCCGUGCAGAAGCGGGGAUAAUACCAUAAGACGAGAAGACCCUAUGGAGCUUUAGACACUAAAGCAGACCACGUUAAACACUCCAAGACAACGGAUUAAACUACAUGGCUCCUGCCCGAAUGUCUUUGGUUGGGGCGACCACGGGGGAAAGCAAAGCCCCCAUGUGGAAUGGGAAUACCAUUCCUACAACCAAGAGUUUCCACUCCAGUGACCAGAACUUCUGACCUUACAGAUCCGGCAAAGCCGAUCAACGGACCGAGUUACCCUAGGGAUAACAGCGCAAUCCUCUUUUAGAGCCCAUAUCGACAAGAGGGUUUACGACCUCGAUGUUGGAUCAGGACAUCCUAAUGGUGCAGCCGCUAUUAAGGGUUCGUUUGUUCAACGAUUAAAGUCCUACGUGAUCUGAGUUCAGACCGGAGUAAUCCAGGUCAGUUUCUAUCUAUGCUAUGAUCUUUUCUAGUACGAAAGGACCGAAAAGAGGAGGCCCCUGCUACAAGCACGCCUCACCUCCAACUAAUGAAGACAACUAAAAUAGCUAAGGAGGC